UUUUGCCUUCUGCCUUUGGCCGUGCCGGUUAUGCAAGUGGCUUGGGGAAGCCGCGCAAAUUGCAGCAGGAAGAAAUCAUCGGCCGGCUCUGCUGGGAACGGCUGGAAUCGGCCCUGCCGGGGAGCCCGGCCGCGGCAGGUAGGGCCGGAGCGGAGCCGUGCUGCAGGAUGAGCGCUGAUAAGAUGCCGGGUCCUGCUCCCACGGCCUCGGGAGACGGAAGCGCUGCGCCGUGAAGCUAUGGAAACGGCGCGGCUCCGAGCGAGCGGUAAUUGGGCCACUUCUGCUGGCGGCACAGAGCGCAGGCAGCUUUAUCACGGGGAUGGCAUCUUGUGCUCGCUCUCCAGACGGCCAAAGGAGAAACCAGGACUAGAGCUCCCUGCUGACAUCCAUCGCUGUGCGCUCUCCCCCGUGCCUUCUCCCCUCGCUGCCUGUGGAGGUGCCGGAGUUGGGGGUGGCCCCUCUGCAUGGAGGGCAGCUCGUCCCAGCCCGUGCCAUUUCCAAGCCCGGAGCCGGAGGCGGAGGCGGCUUUGGGUGCGGGGAGGAAGCUCCGGGUGACUGUGACUCACUGCGGCGCAAGAUUAAUUGCCAGGCGUUGCAGGAGGUUUAUCACUGCCACCCUCGGCUCGCUGGACCGCACCUCUCGCUGCAGCUCCGUGUGCCCGGGGAGCAGUGGGGGUGCUGGGCAGGGAGCACGGUCCCCAUCGGUCACCUUGGGGCCGGGGCGGUCCUUGCUCCUUCCUCGAGCUGUGCCGCAGCCCCUCGCAGCAGGGCCCGCUGUGGGAAGCACUCCCCGGGGCUCGUCCCUGUGUCUGUGGGGACUGUGUGUCCCACAUCCAGAGCUGCGAGGUCCCUCAGCAGCACCGAGUUCUGCAGCUGUGAUGAACCGAAUCUUUUGCAUAAUCAAUAAUUAAUGUCUGGGCUUUCCAAGCAGUUAAUUAAUCUCUUGGUGAAGGGAAAACAAUUUUUAGAAUCAGUGUGGGUGUUUCUCAGCCAGGUGAGAUGGAUGCCACCCUCCAUCCAGGCUCUUCUUCCAUCCCCUGUCCUUCCCAGCCAUCCCCGGAGAGCUCCUUGCUACAAGUGAUGCUAUUCAUUGCCAGGGAGAGGACCAUAUUGAUCAUAAAUAUUUGCCUAAUGAGAUCA